AUCUUCGGAUAUGAGUAGAGCGGCGGACGGGUGAGUAACGCGUAGGAAUCUACCUAGUAGAAGGGGAUAGCCCGGGGAAACCCGGAUUAAUACCGUAUACCUCCUUCGGGAGAAAGAAGGCCUCUCUUUGAAGCUUUCGCUACUAGAUGAGCCUGCGUAAGAUUAGCUUGUUGGUGAGGUAAAGGCUCACCAAGGCAACGAUCUUUAGCUGGUCUGAGAGGACGAUCAGCCACAUUGGGACUGAGACACGGCCCAGACUCCUACGGGAGGCAGCAGUGGGGAAUAUUGGACAAUGGGCGCAAGCCUGAUCCAGCCAUACCGCGUGUGUGAAGAAGGCCUUCGGGUUGUAAAGCACUUUAAGCAGGGAGAAAAAGUUAUAAGCUAAUACCUUAUAACCUUGAUGUUACCUGCAGAAUAAGCACCGGCUAAUUCCGUGCCAGCAGCCGCGGUAAUACGGAAGGUGCAAGCGUUAAUCGGAAUUACUGGGCGUAAAGCGCGCGUAGGUGGUUUGUUA
rnacentral:rRNA from 1 species